GAUUCUCACGUCUGUAGACGAUCGGUGGAGCAGCGCCCUUCUACAAGCAUACUUUGCACCAGAGCUAUAGACAUGGACGGACCUUGCAAGUGUGGUGACCCAAACUGCCGCUGCACAUCGUCCUGCCAGUGCGGCUCGGGACGAUGCGGCUGCGGAAGAUGCAGCAAGUAGCGUCGCACGUGCACGCAUGGGGAAACACUGGGGAAAAGAUGUAACUCGGAGGAGAGUCAUCGAAUAAAAAAAAUGAAAAAAAAAACCGAAACGACAUCUAAGCGACUAUGACUUCCAGCUGCUGCUCAAACAGUGAUGAAGCUUAAUCGCGGCGUGAGGAGCGGCGAAUAAUAAUAAAGAAAAAAGCAAUGCGAGAAAAUGAGA
rnacentral:lncRNA from 1 species